UGUCCGCGGCACGGUGCUCGGCUCCGUGUGCCUGGCAUUUCCUGCUGACAAGUCCACACAGGGCUCUUAUUAACAAUCCCUCAGCACUCAGCAUUAACUCGCAGGGGCUCUGGCACUCGGAUUCCUGGCCCCCCUUUUUGGAUGGCACUGCAACAGAGCCCCAGGCCAGUCUCCCUCCCCGCCCUCCUCGCUUUUUCAUACAUAAAGAUGUGGCUAAUUGCUGCCCUCCAUACAUUACCGGCACUGGAAACUCACCGCUAAGGACAGGGCAAGCCCUGGGCAGUCCCCACGGCCAGAAUCUGAGAGAGUAAGUAUCAGGCCAUUCAUCAUCGAAUGGAGUAUGCACAAUUUUGUACAGAUUUGAGAAAAAGAACGCAAUUAUCAGAGAAAUCUCUUAGGACAUUUCUUGCGCUUCGCUGACUUGGGGAUCGAUGUUCACAAACCCAGUGUUUGAGUUAGUGUAAUGCACUGCUUGGCUCAUAUUUGGUGUGCAAGAAUACCGACAGCAUAUCAGCAAUUUAGAGAAUAAAAACUGAAAUUUAAAGUGACAA